rnacentral:rRNA from 1 species
GACGAACCGUGCGAACGUUAUUCGGAAUCACUGGGCUUAAAGCGCGUGUAGGCGGGACGGCACGUCGGUCGCUGAAAUCCCCCGCUUAACCGGGGAACGGGCGCCGAUACGACCGGCCUGGAGGGACGUAGGGGGACCUGGAACUUCCGGUGGAGCGGUGAAAUGCGUUGAGAUCGGAAGGAACGCCCGUGGCGAAAGCGAGCCCCUGGACGCUACUGACGCUGAGACGCGAAAGCCAGGGGAGCGAACGGG